AUUGAACGCUGGCGGCAGGCCUAACACAUGCAAGUCGAGCGAGCGGCGGACGGGUGAGUAAUGCCUGGGAAUUGCCCAGUCGAGGGGUAUCGCAGUUGGAAACUACUGCUAAUACCGCAUACGAAUAUAUUGCACAGGUGGUAUUAGCUAGUGGGGGGGGUAAUGGCUCACCACGGCGACGAUCCCUAGCUGGUCUGAGAGGAUGAUCAGCAACACUGGAAAUGAGACACGGCCCAGACUCCUACGGGAGGCAGCAGUGGGGAAUAUUGCACAAUGGGGGAAACCCUGAUGCAGCCAUGCCGCGUGAGUGAAGAAGGCCUUCGGGUUGUAAAGCACUUUCAGCGAGGAGGCGUUACUCGCAGAAGAAGCACCGGCUAACUCCGUGCCAGCAGCCGCGGUAAUAC
rnacentral:rRNA from 1 species